rnacentral:piRNA from 1 species
UAAUUGAUGCCACCUGGAUGGCCUUGUCCCU